rnacentral:rRNA from 1 species
UACGUAGGGCGCAAGCGUUGUCCGGAAUCAUUGGGCGUAAAGAGCUCGUAGGUGGUCUGUUACGUCUGCUGUGAAAUCCUAGGGCUUAACCCUGGGCCUGCAGUGGAUACGGGCAGACUAGAGGUAGGUAGGGGAGAAUGGAAUUCCCGGUGUAGCGGUGAAAUGCGCAGAUAUCGGGAAGAACACCCGUGGCGAAGGCGGCUCUCUGGGACGGUACUGACGCUGAGACGCGAAAGCGUGGGGAGCGAACAGG